UACGGGGGGGAGCAAGCGUUGUUCGGAUUUACUGGGCGUAAAGGGCGCGUAGGCGGCCACUGCAAGUCAGUUGUGAAAUCUCCGGGCUUAACCCGGAAAGGUCAGCCGAUACUGCAGGGCUAGAGUGCAGAAGGGGCAACUGGAAUUCUCGGUGUAGCGGUGAAAUGAUGUAGAUAUCGAGAGGAACACCUGCGGCGAAGGCGGGUUGCUGGGCUGACACUGACGCUGACAGCGCGAAAGCUAGGGGAGCGAACGGG
rnacentral:rRNA from 1 species